rnacentral:rRNA from 1 species
AAGUCGUAACAAGGUUUCCGUAGGUGAACCUGCGGAAGGAUCAUUAUUGAAUUUUGAAGAGGUUGUAGCUGGUCUUUAUAAGACAUGUGCACACUUCUAUUCCAAAUUUUACACCCUGUGCACUUUUGUAGGCCAUUGAUUUGGUCUAUGUUUUUUAAUACACCCUGUUAUAAAGUUAUGAAUGCUUGAUUAUUAAAUUAAUACAACUUUCAACAACGGAUCUCUUGGCUCUCGCAUCGAUGAAGAACGCAGCGAAAUGCGAUAAGUAAUGUGAAUUGCAGAAUUCAGUGAAUCAUCGAAUCUUUGAACGCACCUUGCGCUCCUUGGUAUUCCGAGGAGCAUGCCUGUUUGAGUGUCAUUAAAUUCUCAAACUCUCUAUUUAUUUAGAGGCUUUGGAUUUGGAGGUGUUUGCUGGCUUACUUGUCGGCUCCUCUUAAAUGCAUUAGCUUGCACUUUAUUUGUGGAUAGGCUUUGGUUUGAUAAUAUCUAUGCCAUUGCCGUGAAACAAAUGUCAGCUUAUAAUGGUCCUUUUUCUGGACAUCCUUUUUGACAUUUUGACCUCAAAUCAGGUAGGACUACCCGCUGAACUUAAGCAUAUCAAUAAGCGGAGGAAAAGAAACUAACAAGGAUUCCCCUAGUAACUGCGAGUGAAGCGGGAAAAGCUCAAAUUUAAAAUCUGGCAGUUUUUACAGCUGUCCGAGUUGUAAUCUAGAGAAGUGCUUUCCGCGUUGGACCGUGUACAAGUCUCUUGGAACAGAGCGUCAUAGAGGGUGAGAAUCCCGUCUUUGACACGGACUACCAGUGCUUAUGUGAUGCGCUCUCAAAGAGUCGAGUUGUUUGGGAAUGCAGCUCAAAAUGGGUGGUAAAUUCCAUCUAAAGCUAAAUAUUGGCGAGAGACCGAUAGCGAACAAGUACCGUGAGGGAAAGAUGAAAAGAACUUUGGAAAGAGAGUUAAACAGUACGUGAAAUUGUUGAAAGGGAAACGCUUGAAGUCAGUCACGUUGGCUAGAAAUCAAUCCUUCAUUCUUUUGAAGGGUGUACUUUCUGGCUCUACGGGUCAGCAUCAAUUUUGAUUGUUGGAUAAAAGUUGAUAUUUAUGCAUUUUCGGAUGUAUAGCCUUUGAUUGUAUACAACAGUUGGGAUUGAGGAACUCAGCACGCCGUAAAGGCCGGGUCUUUUUGAUCACGUACGUGCUUAGGAUGCUGGCAUAAUGGCUUUAAUCGACC